rnacentral:guide_RNA from 1 species
AUAUUUUACAACAUAUAUUAUUUCAGGGCAUUCACAGUGAUAUUCGG